rnacentral:rRNA from 1 species
GUGGGGAAUCUUCCGCAAUGGACGAAAGUCUGACGGAGCAACGCCGCGUGAGUGAUGAAGGUCUUCGGAUUGUAAAGCUCUGUUAAUCGGGACGAAAGAGCCUAGUGUGAAUAAUGCUAGGAAGUGACGGUACCGGAAUAGAAAGCCACGGCUAACUACGUGCCAGCAGCCGCGGUAAUACGUAGGUGGCAAGCGUUGUCCGGAAUUAUUGGGCGUAAAGCGCGCGCAGGCGGAUCUGCCAGUCUGUCUUAAAAGGUCGGGGCUUAACCCAGUGAUGGGAUGGAAACUACAGAACUAGAGUAUCGGAGAGGAAAGUGGAAUUCCUAGUGUAGCGGUGAAAUGCGUAGAUAUUAGGAAGAACACCAGUGGCGAAGGCGACUUUCUGGACGAAAACUGACGCUGAGGCGCGAAAGCCAGGGGAGCGAACGGGAUUAGAAACCCUAGUAGUCC